rnacentral:pre_miRNA from 14 species
UGCUCUGAAAGAUCCCCGAAGGGAGACCCUUACUCAAGUCUCGGGAAGUCGCAGACCCCAGACACAGAGAGACCA